AUGGUUUUAGAUGUAAGCAGAUACCUGAUAGGAAACUCUGGGCCCUUGGUCCCCACUGGCCAUGCUGCUACAGUCCUCAUCACCUCCCUCAUAGACUUUGGCCAGAGUCCGCUGACUUCUCCCAACCUCCUGCUCUUCUGUCUCAGAGAAAUGUCUCCAAGGCCUUAUGCAGCUCAGGAACCUCUGGUGACAGGAACGAUUAUCCCUGCCAAGGUUCUGGCCUUCCUGCUAGGACGGUCUGGCUUUNNNNNNNNNNNNNNNNNNNNNNNNNNNNNNNNNNNNNNNNNNNNNNNNNNNNNNNNUGUCCCGUGUCCAGAGGCCAGUUUUCUUGGGGCACAUUUCAGCACUUCUCAAAUAUAUUUAUUUCACUCAUAGGAAUUAUAUAUCUUACUCACUGGAUAAAGCAAUACAGAACGGUCUAAAGUAGGCUUCCACCCUCUUCCAACAAGAAAGCAAGGAACCAUGUGUGUCUUCUUUCAUAUUCUUCCUUCGUUUACACGAAAACAAUCAAACAUAGAAUUUUAAACAUGGGUUGCACCAUGCACAAUAGUCUGAGUGUCACCUUUCCAUUGUUCUGCCCUGGACAUUUUCCUCGGCCAAAGCAGACAUAUAGACUCCAUUCUUUGUGACAAGAGUCGGUGUUCCUCAUUAGGCCACUCCCCACCCCACUGAGGGACAUUCGGGUGGUUUCCAGUUACUUUCGUAAGAACAUUGCCUAUGUGCACCCUGCCCCCAGAGGGAACUGCGUUAGUAUGCAAAGUUAAACACAUCACAUCAGCCGAUGAAAAAUGAAAACAAAAUAAAACCAGUUGGAAGGCGGUAAAGGGCCAAGUGUAAAUACCCCUGGGACUCCUCACCUGGUUCGUUUCCAGUCGCUGGGCGCUGUCUCGGCCGGAACUGCCACGGGCUCCUUUGGUCUGCGCUGCCGCCGACUUGGCGUCCGGGCUCUGGACCGCCGUGGUGAACUGGCGCAGUGCGCCAGCGGCGGGAAGGGGUCCACCGGCGCGCAGACCCCGGGCCGUCCCGGCGCGCUUGGCCGGCGCUAGCUGCUUGCUCUCCUGUCUGGCUCUCGCAAGGGCAGGCGCGCCCACUCCGACUGGCCGUCAGGGGGCGCUCCAGGCCGAGUCUAGUGGCCUCCUUCGCCCGGGGACCGCGACCGGCGGGCGGAAGCCAGGCCAGAGGUGGAGCCGGGAGCGGGGCCAGGCAACUCCCACCCGCGCCGGCCCUAGCACGUCUUUCCGGAAACCCGAUCCAGCCCGCGCCCUGGCCGCGCUCCACGCUCCACGCUCGGCCUCCUGCCCCACUGACCUGGGAUUGCCAAGGAGCUCUUUGCCCCCUGGGGCACCAAACGGGGCGCUAGCGUCGUCCUUCCCAUUUGGCUACCACCCACCCGCUCUCAAACAUAUCACCGCCACAAGGAUGACACUAUCACCGCUCUGGCCGGAGGACCAGACCGCAUGCUGACGGCAACCGGCCUGUCCCAGCAGCCCUGUAUUGUGCCCGCUCUCUGCCCUCCCUGAGUGGGGAGGAGAGAGGAGAGUGGGUGGCCUCCAGGACUACAGCGCUGCAUGGCAGGAGCCUCUGUGUGGGGCCUCCAUGGUCUGGGUCACACUGGGACAGGCCAGCCACACCUGGGGAGGGGCAGCCUGGCCCUCAUACUUCUUGUGACCCCCUGGGCAUAAAGAGCACCCACUCACACCUGGGUGCCAUCACUCUGGGGUGCCUGACCCACAUUUAGUCCUCUUAGGGAGGGAAGAGGAUGUGAAGGUUACCAUCCCUCCCAGGCCAUAGUGUCAAACUCUGUUUUCUCCU
ensembl:lncRNA